rnacentral:lncRNA from 1 species
CCACAGGAGCAAGGGGUCCGGGGGCGGGGGGGCCCUAGAGACUCCGCGGCCUAGAAGCGCUUUCAUUUUGUAAUUAAUGUUCCUGAACUUGGGGAGAGCGAGAAAGGCGCGUGCGGACCGGGGAAAAGGUCAUUUUGCUUCACAGAUAUGUGUACUCUUUCUUCUGAAACUGCCAGAUUUCAUCAUGACAAGAUGCACCAGUUAAGGACACUGCUGCCAGCCUGCCCCAGGCCGAAAGACUGUGCGGUGUCCCCAGGUCGCUCUGUGACUCGGGGGCAGGAAGCAGAUGUGGGCACAGGUCAGGGGACCAGCCUGGGUCAUGAGAGCCAGGGCCAGUACCAUGCAAUUUGCUCAUUUUGUCCAGUCCCAAGGGGCCAUGUGAAUUGCCCAAGGUCACACUGCAAGAGGCAAAGCCAUCAGAAAACCUAGUGUCCUGACUCCCAGGCACUGUUCUUUCUACUGGGUUUUCUUUGAUUGUCAAAAAUAAGAGCAAAACAAAAACACUCUUGGUUAUUUAAAUUCCAAUCAUGAGUCAAGGAAAGAGUUUUAAAAUUAAUCUUUUUCACAACCAAGACCAAUUAAUCAACUCUUGCAUCAUGAGUUGCCUUCGUUUUUUGAUUUGCCUAAAUUACAAAUUGCUUUUUAAAUUGUAACUUGCAAAUUUAUUCAUGAAAAAUGUUUUUAAAAGCAAAAAUUUGGUAUCAGCUUAAGUGUCUCCAAAUAGGAUAAUGGGCAAGUAAAUGAAGAUGUAUCUCCCCAGUGGGAAAUUAUGCAUUUCUUAAACUCAAUACUAUGGAAAGUUUGUAAUAAAGUAGAAAAUGCUUAGCUGUAACACUC